GCAUUCAUUUCAGCUUUAACUCGCCUGUCGGACUCUUCGAAUGCUUUCUGAUUCGAUGAUUCAGCUUCCUUCAGUGCCUGUUCAAGUCGAUCAAAUAGUUGAUCAUUGCUACUUCCUUCCUGCCAACAAACCAUGAACCAUUCAAAGACAUCAGCAUACAUCAGUUCAAAUCUGAAAAACGCUUCAUUCCUCAGCUUCCAGGUCAAAACUAAGCUAUAAAGACGACGGAAUGGCACUGGUGAUAAUCAACAUAUGACAAUAGAGAACAUGAAUGUAGACGUUCUUGACAUGUAGCUUUUAUGGAAGAUGAACUUCUACUGUACGAUAGUGUCAUGGUAUAUUGGGGCAUUGAUAAAGAAUCACAAACCUCUCCAGAGUGAAGCACGUCAUAUAGCUCAAUCUCACAUUCACUCUCCUCUCUUUCCUCGGAUACAGUCGAGCCAAAAAU
rnacentral:lncRNA from 1 species